AUGAACGCUGGCGGCGUGCCUAAUACAUGCAAGUCGAGCGAACAGAUGAGGAGCUUGCUCCUCUGACGUUAGCGGCGGACGGGUGAGUAACACGUGGAUAACCUACCUAUAAGACUGGGAUAACUUCGGGAAACCGGAGCUAAUACCGGAUAAUAUAUUGAACCGCAUGGUUCAAUAGUGAAAGACGGUUUUGCUGUCACUUAUAGAUGGAUCCGCGCCGCAUUAGCUAGUUGGUAAGGUAACGGCUUACCAAGGCAACGAUGCGUAGCCGACCUGAGAGGGUGAUCGGCCACACUGGAACGGAGACACGGUCCAGACGCCUACGGGAGGCAGCAGUAGGGAAUCUUCCGCAAUGGGCGAAAGCCUGACGGAGCAACGCCGCGUGAGUGAUGAAGGUCUUCGGAUCGUAAAACUCUGUUAUUAGGGAAGAACAAAUGUGUAAGUAACUAUGCACGUCUUGACGGUACCUAAUCAGAAAGCCACGGCUAACUACGUG
rnacentral:rRNA from 1 species